GAUGAACGCUGGCGGCGUGCCUAAUACAUGCAAGUCGAGCGAACAGACGAGGAGCUUGCUCCUCUGACGUUAGCGGCGGACGGGUGAGUAACACGUGGAUAACCUACCUAUAAGACUUGGAUAACUUCGGGAAACCGGAGCUAAUACCGGAUAAUAUAUUGAACCGCAUGGUUCAAUAGUGAAAGACGGUUUUGCUGUCACUGAUAGAUGGAUCCGCGCCGCAUUAGCUAGUUGGUAAGGUAACGGCUUACCAAGGCAACGAUGCGUAGCCUACCUGAGAGGGUGAUCGGCCACACUGGAACUGAGACACGGUCCAGACUCCUACGGGAGGCAGCAGUAGGGAAUCUUCCGCAAUGGGCGAAAGCCUGACGGAGCAACGCCGCGUGAGUGAUGAAGGUCUUCGGAUCGUAAAACUCUGUUAUUAGGGAAGAACAAAUGUGUAAGUAACUAUGCACGUCUUGACGGUACCUAAUCAGAAAGCCACGGCUAACUACGUG
rnacentral:rRNA from 1 species